UGUGUAGGCGGUUCUUUAAGUUUGGUGUGAAAUCUCCCGGCUCAACCGGGAGGGUGCGCCGAAUACUGAGGGACUAGAGUGUGGGAGAGGAAAGUGGAAUUCCUGGUGUAGCGGUGAAAUGCGUAGAUAUCAGGAGGAACACCGGUGGUGUAGACGGCUUUCUGGACCAUAACUGACGCUGAGACACGAAAGCGUGGGUAGCAAACAGGAUUAGAUACCCUGGUAGUCCACGCCCUAAACGAUGCAUAUUUGGUGUGGGUCAUUCAGUUGAUCCGUGCCGGAGCUAACGCGUUAAAUAUGCCGCCUGGGGAGUACAGUCGCAAGGCUGA
rnacentral:rRNA from 1 species